UUACAGCUGCCUGAAAUUAAAGGGUAGUUUUGAUAGAACUAAUUAUGUAAAUCCUUACCUAUAUU
rnacentral:tRNA from 1 species